CCAGGACACCCAACUGGCCCCGCCCGGUUUUGGGACCUGGCUCCCCCGAGUUAGCGGCGGACGGGUGAGUAACACGUGGGCAACCUACCUGUAAGACUGGGAUAACUUCGGGAAACCGGAGCUAAUACCGGAUGACAUAAAGGAACUCCUGUUCCUUUAUUGAAAGAUGGCUUCGGCUAUCACUUACAGAUGGGCCCGCGGCGCAUUAGCUAGUUGGUGAGGUAACGGCUCACCAAGGCGACGAUGCGUAGCCGACCUGAGAGGGUGAUCGGCCACACUGGGACUGAGACACGGCCCAGACUCCUACGGGAGGCAGCAGUAGGGAAUCUUCCGCAAUGGACGAAAGUCUGACGGAGCAACGCCGCGUGAGCGAUGAAGGCCUUCGGGUCGUAAAGCUCUGUUGUUAGGGAAGAAUAAGUGCUAGUUGAAUAAGCUGGCACCUUGACGGUACCUAACCAGAAAGCCACGGCUAACUACGUGCCAGCAGCCGCGGUAAUACGUAGGUGGCAAGCGUUGUCCGGAAUUAUUGGGCGUAAAGCGCGCGCAGGCGGUUUCUUAAGUCUGAUGUGAAAGCCCCCGGCUCAACCGGGGAGGGUCAUUGGAAACUGGGAAACUUGAGUGCAGAAGAGGAAAGUGGAAUUCCAAGUGUAGCGGUGAAAUGCGUAGAGAUUUGGAGGAACACCAGUGGCGAAGGCGACUUUCUGGUCUGUAACUGACGCUGAGGCGCGAAAGCGUGGGGAGCAAACAGGAUUAGAUACCCUGGUAGUCCACGCUGUAAACGAUGAGUGCUAAGUGUUAGAGGGUUUCCGCCCUUUAGUGCUGAAGUUAACGCAUUAAGCACUCCGCCUGGGGAGUACGGUCGCAAGACUGAAACUCAAAGGAAUUGACGGGGGCCCGCACAAGUGGUGGAGCAUGUGGGUUUAAUUCGAAGCAACGCGAGAACCUUACCAGGUCUUGACAUCCUCUGACACCUAGAGAUAGGGCUUUCCCUUCGGGGACAGAGUGACAAGGUGGUGCAUGGUUGUCGUCAGCUCGUGUCGUGAGAUGUUGGGUUAAGUCCCGCAACGAGCGCACCUUGAUCUAGUUGCCAGCAAUUCAGUGGGCACUCUAAGUGACUGCCGGUGACAACGAGAGGUGGGAUGACGUCCAUCAUCAUUGCCUUUAUGACCUGGCCUACCACGCGUGUCUUACAUGGAUUUAGUAC
rnacentral:rRNA from 2 species